rnacentral:rRNA from 1 species
GAUGAACGCUGGCGGCGUGCCUAAUACAUGCAAGUCGAGCGAACGGACGAGAAGCUUGCUUCUCUGAUGUUAGCGGCGGACGGGUGAGUAACACGUGGAUAACCUACCUAUAAGACUGGGAUAACUUCGGGAAACCGGAGCUAAUACCGGAUAAUAUUUUGAACCGCAUGGCUCAAAAGUGAAAGACGGUCUUGCUGUCACUUAUAGAUGGAUCCGCGCUGCAUUAGCUAGUUGGUAAGGUAACGGCUUACCAAGGCAACGAUGCAUAGCCGACCUGAGAGGGUGAUCGGCCACACUGGAACUGAGACACGGUCCAGACUCCUACGGGAGGCAGCAGUAGGGAAUCUUCCGCAAUGGGCGAAAGCCUGACGGAGCAACGCCGCGGGAGUGAUGAAGGUCUUCGGAUCGUAAAACUCUGUUAUUAGGGAAGAACAUAUGUGUAAGUAACUGUGCACAUCUGGACGGUACCUAAUCAGAAAGCCACGGCUAACUACGU